GUAAACAUAGUUUAUAAAAAUACUAGACUGUGACUCUAGAGAAAGAACCCACCAACUUCUUGUUUACC
rnacentral:tRNA from 1 species